GACGAACGCUGGCGGCGUGCUUAACACAUGCAAGUCGAACGGAAAGGCCCUGCUUUUGUGGGGUGCUCGAGUGGCGAACGGGUGAGUAACACGUGAGUAACCUGCCCUUGACUUUGGGAUAACUUCAGGAAACUGGGGCUAAUACCGGAUAGGAGCUCCUGCUGCAUGGUGGGGGUUGGAAAGUUUCGGCGGUUGGGGAUGGACUCGCGGCUUAUCAGCUUGUUGGUGGGGUAGUGGCUUACCAAGGCUUUGACGGGUAGCCGGCCUGAGAGGGUGACCGGCCACAUUGGGAAUGAGAUACGGCCAAGACUCCUACGGGAGGCAGCAGUGGGGAAUAUUGCACAAUGGGCGGAAGCCUGAUGCAGCAACGCCGCGUGCGGGAUGAAGGCCUUCGGGUGGUAAACCGCUUUCGCCUGUGACGAAGCGUGAGUGAGGGUAAUGGGUAAAGAAGCACCGGCUAACUACGUG
rnacentral:rRNA from 1 species